rnacentral:misc_RNA from 1 species
GAUGAAGAACGUAGCGAAAUGCGAUAAUUAAUGUGAAUUGCAGAAUUCAGUGAAUCAUCGAAUCUUUGAACGCACAUUGCACCUCUCGGUAUUCCGGGAGGUAUGCCUGUUCGAGCGUCAUUUGUACCCUCAAGCUCUGCUUGGUGUUGGGUGUUUGUUCCGCCUCUGUGUGUGAACUCGCCUCAAAACAAUUGGCAGCCGGCGUACUUGUUUCGGAGCGCAGCACAUUUUGCGAUCCAGAUCAACGUACAGCGGCAUCCAAGAAGCCUUAUUUAACGCUCUUGACCUCGGAUCAGGUAGGGAUACCCGCUGAACUUAAGCAUAUCAAUAAGCGGAGGA